rnacentral:misc_RNA from 1 species
UCGGUCCGCGCGCCAGCUAGG